rnacentral:rRNA from 1 species
CUACGGGUCGCAGCAGUGGGGAAUUUUGCGCAAUGGGCGAAAGCCUGACGCAGCAAUACCGCGUGAGUGAAGAAGGCCUUUGGGUCGUAAAGCUCUUUUCUGGGGGAAGAUAGUGACGGUACCCCAGGAAUAAGCACCGGCUAACUCCGUGCCAGCAGCCGCGGUAAUACGGAGGGUGCAAGCGUUGUUCGGAUUUACUGGGCGUAAAGGGCACGUAGGCGGCACAGCAAGUUAAGGGUGAAAUCCCGGGGCUCAACUCCGGAACUGCUCUUAAAACUGCUGAGCUAGAGAUAGUCAGAGGCGGGUGGAAUUCCUGGUGUAGAGGUGAAAUUCGUAGAUAUCAGGAGGAACACCGGUGGCGAAGGCGGCCCGCUGGGGCUAUUCUGACGCUAAGGUGCGAAAGCGUGGGGAGCGAACGGGAUUAGAUACCCCAGUAGUC